AUUUUAAACUUCUAUGCACCUAAUAUUAUAGCUUCAAAAAAACAAAGAUACACAAAAACAUACGGAAAAUGGACAAAUCCACCAUGAUAGUGGGAGAUUUUAACAUGCCUAAUUGAUAGAACAAACAAAUCAAAAAGCAAUUAAGAUAUACAAAACAUCUAAACAACACGAUUAACAAGUUUGAUCUGACGGAAAAACACAGACAAUGGCACAAAACAACUGAAGAAUACCCCUUGUUUCCAAAUAAACAUGAAAUAUUUAUAGAAACAGGUGUAUAAAGUUCCAAAAAUUGACAUAAAGCACCAAUUGGGAAAUUUUAAGUCUUCUAAAUAACUCAGAUUAAAAAGGAAAUCAUAAUGGGAAGAUAGGAAUAAGAAUAUUCUCAUUUCAGAGGCAGUGAUAAUCCUCAUUCAGUUGCAGAGGGGUGCCAAUGACUUUCGGUUUCUGGAGCUGGCUGUCAACAUGUCCUUUCCUAAGGCACCCCUGAAACGAUUCAACGACCCUUCUGGUUGUGCACCAUCUCCAGGUGCUUACGAUGUUAAAACUUCAGAGGUAUUGAAAGGACCAAUAUCCUUUCAGAAAUCACAAAGAUUUAAACAACAAAAAGAUUCUAAACAAAAUCUUAAUGUUGACAAAGAUACUACCUUGCCUUCUUCAGCUAGAAAAGUUAAGUCUUCAGAAUCAAAAGAAUCUCAAAAGAAUGAUAAAGAUUUGAAGAUAUCAGAAAAAGGAUUUGUGUUCUUAUACAGGAACAUGGUGCUCAGGACAGGCGGAUCCAGGAUCUGGAAACUGAAUUGGAAAAGACGGAAGCAAGGCUAAACGCUGCAUUCAGGGAAAAAACACCUCUCUCUGCAAAUAAUGCUUCACUGGAAAAACAACUUACUGAAUUGACCAGGACUAAUGAACUACUAAAAUCUAAGUUUUUGGAAAAUGGUAACCAGGAGAAUUUGGGAAUUCUAAGCUUGGAGCUGAUGAAACUUAGAAACAAAAGAGAAACAAAGAUGAGGGAUCUGAUGGCUAAGCAAGAAGGCAUGGAAAUGAAGCUACAGGUCACCCAAAGGAGUCUCAAAGAGUCUCAGGGGAAAAUAGCCCAACUGGAGGGAAAACUUGUUUCAAUGGAGAAAGAAAAGAUUGAUGAAAAAUCUGAAACAGAAAAACUCUUAGAAUAUAUCCAAGAAAUUAGUUGUGCUUCAGAUCAAGUGGAAAAAUACAAGCUAGAUAUUGCCCAGUUAGAAGAAAAUUUGAAGGAGAAGAAUCAUGAAAUUUUAAGCCUUAAGCAGUCUCUUGAGAAAAUUACUGUUAUAUUAUCUAAACAAGUAGAAGACCUAAAUGCGAAAGGUCUGCUGCUUGAAAAAGAAAAAGAAGAUCAUGUCAACAGGAAUAGAGAACAUAAUGAAAACCUAAAUGCUGAGAUGUGAAACCUAAAACAGAAGUUUAUUAUUGAACAACAGGAACGUGAAAAGUUUCAACAAAAGGAAUUACAAGAAUAAUCUUCUAGUCUUCAUCAGAAGCUGUGUUCUUUUCAAGAGGAGAUGGUUAAAGAGAAGAAUCUCUUUGAGGAAGAAUUAAAACAAGCACUGGAUGAGCCUGAUAAAUUACAGCAAAAGGAGGAACAAUCUGAAAGGCUGGUCAAGCAAUUGGAAGAGGAAACAAAAUCUAGAGCUGAGGAAUUAAAACUCCUAGAAGAAAAGCUGAAAGGGAAGGAGGCUGAACUGGAGAAAAGUAGUGCUGUUCAUACCCAGGCCACCCUGCUUUUGCAGGAAAAGUUUAACAGUACAGUGCAAAGCCUUGAAGAUGUUACUGCUCAAUUUGAAAGCUAUAAAGCGUUAACAGCCAGUGAGAUAGAAGAUCUUAAGCUGCAGAACUCAUCAUUACAGGAAAAAAUGGCCAAGGAUGGAAAAAAUGCAGAAGAUAUUCAGGGUCAGAUAUUGGCAACUGAGAGCUCAAAUCAAGAAUAUGCAAGGAUGCUUCUUGAUCUACAGACCAAGUCAGCACUAAAAGAAAGAGAAAUUAAAGAAAUCACAGUUUCUUCUUUUCAAAAAACAACUGAUUUGCAGAACCAACUCAAGCAACAAGAAGAAGAUUUUAUAAAACAACUGGAAGAUGAAGGAGCAAGAAACGCUGGAAAAGAAAAUACAAUGGCAGAAUUAACUGAAGAAAUUAACAAGUGGCGUCUCAUUUACGAAGAACUGUAUAAUAAAAUAAAACCUUUCCAGCUACAACUAGAUGCUUUCAAAGCAGAAAAACAGGCAUUGUUGAAUGAAUAUGGUGCAGCUCAGGAACAGCUAAAUAAAAUAAGAGAUUCAUAUGCUAAAUUAUUGGGUCAUCAGAAUUUAAAAUAAAAAAUCAAGCAUGUCGUGAAGCUGAAAGAUGAAAAUAGCCAACUCAAAUCGGAAGUAUCAAAACUCCGCUGUCUGCUUGCUAAAAAAAAAAACAAACUGAGACAAAACUUCAAGAUGAAUUGAAUAAAGUCCUAGGUAUCAAACGCUUUGAUCCUUCAAAGGCUUUUCAUCAUGAAAGUAAAGAAAAUUUUGCCCUGAAAACCCCAUUAAAAGAAGGCAAUACAAACUGUUACUAAGCUCCUGUGUAGUGUCAGGAAUCAUGGAAGUAA